rnacentral:rRNA from 1 species
CGGUAAUACCAGCUCUCCGAGUGGUGUGGACGUUUAUUGGGCCUAAAGCAUCCGUAGCUGGCUAGGUCAGUCCCUUGUUAAAUCCACCGAAUUAAUCGUUGGAUUGCGGGGGAUACUGCUUGGCUAGGGGACGAGAGAGGCAGACGGUAUUUUCGGGGUAGGGGUGAAAUCCUAUAAUCCCGGGAAGACCACCAGUGGCGAAGGCUGUCGGCUAGAACGCG